rnacentral:sRNA from 1 species
CAGAGAGGGCUCAUUGCGCUCCCGAACAGACCUGACGUAGAUCCGAAGUGGCCCGCGCCAUCUCAACUAUGAGGGGACACCCGUAGGCGGCGGGAGAGGGACGCCGCGAGGAGCCAAUAAAGCUCCGCAACCGGAAGUGUCUUCUGGGAGGGGACGUACCCGGAAGUGUGGCACCUCCCGGGCCGCACCCGGAAGUGUGAUGCCACCACCGCUACGGGGAAGUAAUGGUAUCCGGCCAAUUGAGAUUCGGGGUUAAAACAGGGAUGUGCAGAUGGAGGUCGGAGGAGACACUGCUGCCCCGGCCCCCGGGGGCGCGGAGGACUUGGAGGACACGCAGUUCCCCAGUGAGGAAGCUAGAGAAGGUGGAGGGGUUCACGCGGUCCCGCCGGAUCCCGAAGACGAGGGCCUGGAGGAAACAGGAUCCAAGGACAAGGACCAGCCACCCAGCCCAUCACCACCGCCCCAGUCAGAGGGCCUGUCAAGCACCUCUCGGCUCUGGAGUCCUGCAGCCCCUGAGAAUAGUCCCACACGUAGCCCUGAGAGUAGCUCUGGAGGCCAGGGCGGGGACCCCAGUGAUGAGGAGUGGCGCAGCCAGCGGAAGCAUGUGUUUGUGCUGAGUGAGGCUGGCAAGCCCAUCUACUCGCGGUAUGGUAGUGUGGAGGCGCUGUCGGCUACCAUGGGUGUAAUGACCGCCCUGGUGUCCUUUGUGCAGAGUGCGGGAGAUGCCAUCCGUGCCAUCUACGCUGGUGAGCAAACAGGUGGGAGGCAGAAUGGGGGACAGUGACUGGGAAUAUGGCUGGCACGGGUAGGUCUGUCUGCCUCAGGCACUAUCCAGCCAGCCAGGGUUGGGUCCAUGUGUGUGGAUGGUCAGCCAGAGCUCUAACUGUCAGUGGCGGGAGGUGGGGGGGUUCAUCUCUGU